rnacentral:SRP_RNA from 1 species
GCUGGGCGCAGUGAGGCGCGCCUGUAAUCCCAGCUACUUGGGAGGCUGAGGCAGGAGACUCACUUGAACCCGGGAGGCACAGGUUGCAGUGAGCCAAGAUCGUGCCACUGCACCCCAACCUGGGUGACAGAGCGAGACUCUGUCUCAG